GCCUGGGUGGCUCAGUCGGUUGAGCAUCGGACUUUGGCUCAGGUCAUGAUGUCACGGUGGGUUUGAGCCCCGCGUCAGGCU
rnacentral:tRNA from 1 species